rfam:Tursiops truncatus cont1.248938, whole genome shotgun sequence.
AAAGGAUCUGUAUGAAACACAAGGUGGAAAGAAAUGGAAGGAAAAUUAAACUAACGCCAACAGUUCAGCUUUGCCAAA